AACGAACGCUGGCGGCAUGCCUAACACAUGCAAGUCGAACGAGACCUUCGGGUCUAGUGGCGCACGGGUGCGUAACGCGUGGGAACCUGCCCUUAGGUUCGGAAUAACUCCCGAAAGGGGUACUUAAACCGGCUAAUGUUCUUGGCCCAAAGGAUGUCCGGCCUGGGGGUGGGCCGUGUUGGAUUUGGUCGGUGGUAGGGGAAAAGCCUACCAAGGCGACGGUUCAUUGCUGGGUUGAGAAGAAGGUCAGCCACACUGGGACUGAGACACGGCCCAGACUCCUACGGGAGGCAGCAGUGGGGAAUAUUGGAGGAUGGGCGAAAGCCUGAUACAGCAAUGCCGCGUGAGUGAUGAAGGCCUUAGGGUUGUAAAGCUCUUUUACCCGGGAUGAUAAUGACAGUACCGGGAGAAUAAGCACCGGCUAACUCCGUG
rnacentral:rRNA from 1 species